rnacentral:rRNA from 1 species
AUGCACAUACUGUGAGCUCGAUGAGUAGGGCGGGACACGUGGUAUCCUGUCUGAAUAUGGGGGGACCAUCCUCCAAGGCUAAAUACUCCUGACUGACCGAUAGUGAACCAGUACCGUGAGGGAAAGGCGAAAAGAACCCCGGCGAGGGGAGUGAAAAAGAACCUGAAACCGUGUACGUACAAGCAGUGGGAGCCUCUUUAUGGGGUGACUGCGUACCUUUUGUAUAAUGGGUCAGCGACUUAUAUUCUGUAGCAAGGUUAACCGAAUAGGGGAGCCGAAGGGAAACCGAGUCUUAACUGGGCGUUAAGUUGCAGGGUAUAGACCCGAAACCCGGUGAUCUAGCCAUGGGCAGGUUGAAGGUUGGGUAACACUAACUGGAGGACCGAACCGACUAAUGUUGAAAAAUUAGCGGAUGACUUGUGGCUGGGGGUGAAAGGCCAAUCAAACCGGGAGAUAGCUGGUUCUCCCCGAAAGCUAUUUAGGUAGCGCCUCGUGAAUUCAUCUCCGGGGGUAGAGCACUGUUUCGGCAAGGGGGUCAUCCCGACUUACCAACCCGAUGCAAACUGCGAAUACCGGAGAAUGUUAUCACGGGAGACACACGGCGGGUGCUAACGUCCGUCGUGAAGAGGGAAACAACCCAGACCGCCAGCUAAGGUCCCAAAGUCAUGGUUAAGUGGGAAACGAUGUGGGAAGGCCCAGACAGCCAGGAUGUUGGCUUAGAAGCAGCCAUCAUUUAAAGAAAGCGUAAUAGCUCACUGGUCGAGUCGGCCUGCGCGGAAGAUGUAACGGGGCUAAACCAUGCACCGAAGCUGCGGCAGCGACACUAUGUGUUGUUGGGUAGGGGAGCGUUCUGUAAGCCUGUGAAGGUGUACUGUGAGGUAUGCUGGAGGUAUCAGAAGUGCGAAUGCUGACAUAAGUAACGAUAAAGCGGGUGAAAAGCCCGCUCGCCGGAAGACCAAGGGUUCCUGUCCAACGUUAAUCGGGGCAGGGUGAGUCGACCCCUAAGGCGAGGCCGAAAGGCGUAGUCGAUGGGAAACAGGUUAAUAUUCCUGUACUUGGUGUUACUGCGAAGGGGGGACGGAGAAGGCUAUGUUGGCCGGGCGACGGUUGUCCCGGUUUAAGCGUGUAGGCUGAUUUUCCAGGCAAAUCCGGAAAAUCAAGGCUGAGGCGUGAUGACGAGGCACUACGGUGCUGAAGCAACAAAUGCCCUGCUUCCAGGAAAAGCCUCUAAGCAUCAGGUAACAUCAAAUCGUACCCCAAACCGACACAGGUGGUCAGGUAGAGAAUACCAAGGCGCUUGAGAGAACUCGGGUGAAGGAACUAGGCAAAAUGGUGCCGUAACUUCGGGAGAAGGCACGCUGAUAUGUAGGUGAAGCGACUUGCUCGUGGAGCUGAAAUCAGUCGAAGAUACCAGCUGGCUGCAACUGUUUAUUAAAAACACAGCACUGUGCAAACACGAAAGUGGACGUAUACGGUGUGACGCCUGCCCGGUGCCGGAAGGUUAAUUGAUGGGGUUAGCGGUAACGCGAAGCUCUUGAUCGAAGCCCCGGUAAACGGCGGCCGUAACUAUAACGGUCCUAAGGUAGCGAAAUUCCUUGUCGGGUAAGUUCCGACCUGCACGAAUGGCGUAAUGAUGGCCAGGCUGUCUCCACCCGAGACUCAGUGAAAUUGAACUCGCUGUGAAGAUGCAGUGUACCCGCGGCAAGACGGAAAGACCCCGUGAACCUUUACUAUAGCUUGACACUGAACAUUGAGCCUUGAUGUGUAGGAUAGGUGGGAGGCUUUGAAGUGUGGACGCCAGUCUGCAUGGAGCCGACCUUGAAAUACCACCCUUUA